rnacentral:rRNA from 1 species
AAUUUCUAGGUACACCUUCCGGUACACCUACUAUGUUACGACUUAUCUCGCUUUAUAUAACGAGAGCGACGGGCGAUGUGUACAUAACCUAGAGCUACAAUCAAAAUAUCAUGUUAAAAUAUUUUUACAUUUAAAUCCUCCUUCACUAAAACUUUUCUAUUUUAGAUUCGUUUUAUUAAACCAGUAUUAUUGUAACCCAUCUCUACUUUACCAUAGGCUACACCUUGAUCUAAUAUAUUAAUUAAAAACUAUUACAGCAACUUCUACUUUUAUUAAAGUUACCUAAUAAUGACGGUAUAUAAACUGAGUUAUUCAAAGUAAAGUAAGAUUUUUCGUGGACUAUCGAUUACAGGACAGGUUCCUCUAACUAGACUAAAUUACCGCCAAAUCCUUUAAGUUUCAAGACUAUAACUGUUUACUACCCAGGUAUUCGAACUUAAAAUUAAGUGUAACAGGGUCUCUAAUCCUGGUUCAUACCCUAAUUUUAACAACCUCAAUUAGAUUAUAUUAAACAAAUUUAUUUAUUCAACAAAAAAUUGAUUUCACCCUUUAAUGACACAAAACAAUUCACUUAUAUAAAUAUAACAUUUAAGUAUUUUUAACCAAACAUCUUUUACUUUACCUCUCAGUAUAACCGCGGCUGCUGGCACAAAUUUUAACCAGGUAUAUAAAUCAGAAUUACCAAUUCUAGCUCUCACUUAUUAAAUUAGUACUAAAUACUGCGAAUUUACAUUUUGUUAACUCCUUUAAAUGAAUUUUAUUUCUUAAAAUAUUAAAUAUUAAGAAAAGAUAGACAUAACUUAACACUUUACAUGUACCAUUAAUCUGAAAAUAAAAGAAUAAGCCAGGAUAAAACUUUAA